rnacentral:miRNA from 1 species
UGGCUCAGCAGUCACCCUGUGAC